rnacentral:tRNA from 1 species
UCAUAGCUCAGUGGUACAGUACUUGCUUAUCAUGCAAGAGGCCCUGGGUUUAAAUCUCUGCACUGCA